rnacentral:lncRNA from 1 species
AAGGAGAGAGCUAGCUUCAUGCUUCGGGCGGGAAAAGAAGACAAAGAAUUGGGUUUUUUUUCUUCAUAGGGUUUUGAGAAGACUGAGGCAAUCGUUGCUGAAGUCAGUGUUGUAAUGGUGAAUCGGGAUUUUUAAUGAAGUGGGUUUGAUUACUCUUGACUCUUUUGUGAAAUCGAGUUACGUCUGUGAUGAAGAGUUAAAAAGGUGUCUAUAGGAUUGAGUAUGCGGAGUGAAUGAAAUUUAUUGGGUUAAUCUAACAAGACAAUCAGUGGAUACAAGAU